ensembl:snoRNA small nucleolar RNA U3
AAGACUAUACUUUCAGGGAUCAUUUCUAUAGUUUGUUACUAGAGAAGUUUCUCUGACUGUGUAGAGCACCCGAAACCACGAGGAGGAGACGGAGCGUUCUCUCCUGAGCGUGAAGCCAGCUUUUAGUGCUGCACUUUGCAGCUGCUAUCUGCUAUUGAUGAUCGUUCUCGGCCCUCUUGAGGGUCGAGAGGGAGAGGAUGCAGUCUGAGUGGUU